UACGAGGGGGGCAAGCGUUGUUCGGAAUUAUUGGGCGUAAAGGGCUCGUAGGCGGCCAACUAAGUCGGACGUGAAAUCCCCAGGCUCAACCUGGGAACUGCGUCUGAUACUGGAUGGCUUGAAUCCGGGAGAGGGAUGCAGAAUUCCAGGUGUAGCGGUGAAAUGCGUAGAUAUCUGGAGGAAUACCGGUGGCGAAGGCGGCAUCCUGGACCGGCAUUGACGCUGAGGAGCGAAAGCCAGGGGAGCAAACGGG
rnacentral:rRNA from 1 species